rnacentral:piRNA from 1 species
UGACUGAUUGUUAUUGGGAGAGGUUGGAA